CCUACGGGUGACAGCAGUGAGGAAUAUUGGUCAAUGGCCGGAAGGCUGAACCAGCCAUGCCGCGUGAAGGUCAGUGCCCUAUGGGCGUUAAACUUCUUUUGUGCGGGAGCAAUAAUGGUCACGUGUGGCCAGACGAGAGUACCGUACGAAUAAGCAUCGGCUAACUCCGUGCCAGCAGCCGCGGUAAUACGGAGGAUGCGAGCGUUAUCCGGAUUUAUUGGGUUUAAAGGGUGCGCAGGCGGGAGAUCAAGUCAGCGGUAAAAUGUCGGGGCUCAACCCCGGCCGGCCGUUGAAACUGGUUUUCUAGAGUUGGAGAGAAGUAUGCGGAAUUCGUGGUGUAGCGGUGAAAUGCAUAGAUAUCACGAAGAACUCCGAUUGCGAAGGCAGCAUACCGGCUCCAUACUGACGCUGAGGCACGAAAGCGUGGGGAUCGAACAGGAUUAGAUACCCCAGUAGUC
rnacentral:rRNA from 1 species